GAUGAACGCUGGCGGCGUGCCUAAUACAUGCAAGUCGAGCGAACGGACGAGAAGCUUGCUUCUCUGAUGUUAGCGGCGGACGGGUGAGUAACACGUGGAUAACCUACCUAUAAGACUGGGAUAACUUCGGGAAACCGGAGCUAAUACCGGAUGAUAUUUUGAACCGCAUGGUUCAAAAGUGAAAGACGGUCUUGCUGUCACUUAUAGAUGGAUCCGCGCUGCAUUAGCUAGUUGGUAAGGUAACGGCUUACCAAGGAAACGAUGCAUAGCCGACCUGAGAGGGUGAUCGGCCACACUGGAACUGGGACACGGUCCAGACUCCUACGGGAGGCAGCAGUAGGGAAUCUUCCGCAAUGGGCGAAAGCCUGACGGAGCAACGCCGCGUGAGUGAUGAAGGUCUUCGGAUCGUAAAACUCUGUUAUUAGGGAAGAACAUAUGUGUAAGUAACUGUGCACAUCUUGACGGUACCUAAUCAGAAAGCCACGGCUAACUACGU
rnacentral:rRNA from 1 species